rnacentral:rRNA from 1 species
UACGUAGGGGGCUAGCGUUGUCCGGAUUUAUUGGGCGUAAAGAGCUUGUAGGCGGUCUGGCAGGUCUGGUGUGAAAACUCGAGGCUUAACCUCGAGAUGUCAUCGGAAACCAUCUGGCUAGAGUCCGGAAGAGGAGAGUGGAAUUCCUGGUGUAGCGGUGAAAUGCGCAGAUAUCAGGAAGAACACCAAUGGCGAAAGCAGCUCUCUGGGACGGUACUGACGCUGAGACGCGAAGGCGUGGGGAGCGAACAGG